GUGUACCACCAGUUUGGACCUGUGGAGGAACUCUAUCCUUCCUGUAGCCCCACUCAAGGCUGGCAGUACGUCAUGUCACCUGGUACAGAGACUGGAGCAGUGUUCCCAAGUAUGGAAUAUGCUGCCAUCAGAGCCUGAAUGCACUGCACUUCCUAUUUCAGGGUAGAAGAAAUAAACAUUCAACUGGGAAUUGAGCUUGGAAAAUUCCAGAUUGCUGACAUUUGGGAUAUGGUGUGAGACUCAUAAUUUUAAAUUUUCUUAUGUGUAAAAAUUGGAUCAAGAAACUCUAUUUGAUAGAGUAUUGUGAGAAUUAUGAUCCUAAAGGAAAUCAGUCCUGCGUGUUCAUUGGAAGGACUGAUGUUGAAGCUGAAACUCCAAUAUUUUGGCCACUUGAUGCAAAGAGCUGACUCAUUUGAAAAGACCCUGAUGCUGGGAAAGAAGAUUGAAGGCAGGAGGAGAAG
ensembl:lncRNA